rnacentral:rRNA from 1 species
UACGUAGGGUGCAAGCGUUGUCCGGAAUUAUUGGGCGUAAAGAGCUUGUAGGCGGUUUGUCGCGUCUGCUGUGAAAUUUCGGGGCUCAACCCCCGAACUUGCAGUGGAUACGGGCAGGCUAGAGUUCGGUAGGGGAGACUGGAAUUCCUGGUGUAGCGGUGAAAUGCGCAGAUAUCAGGAGGAACACCGGUGGCGAAGGCGGGUCUCUGGGCCGAUACUGACGCUGAGGAGCGAAAGCGUGGGGAGCGAACAGG